rnacentral:rRNA from 1 species
GGGGAAUAUUGGACAAUGGGCGAAAGCCUGAUCCAGCAACACCGCGUGAGGGAUGACGGCCUUCGGGUUGUAAACCUCUUUCAGCAGGGACGAAGCGAAAGUGACUUUACCUGCAGAAGAAGCACCGGCCAACUACGUGCCAGCAGCCGCGGUGAUACGUAGGGUGCGAGCGUUGUCCGGAAUUAUUGGGCGUAAAGGGCUCGUAGGCGGUCCGUCACGUCGGGAGUGAAAACUCGGGGCUCAACCCCAAGCUUGCUCUCGAUACGGGCGGACUAGAGGUAGGUAGGGGAGAACGGAAUUCCUGGUGUAGCGGUGGAAUGCGCAGAUAUCAGGAGGAACACCGGUGGCGAAGGCGGUUCUCUGGGCCUUACCUGACGCUGAGGAGCGAAAGCGUGGGGAGCGAAC